UCUCUCUCUCUCUCUCUCUCUUUUUCUUUCUGUGACACCAACCUGCUUGUUGUAUAAUUUUAUUGUUUAUCAACUGAGUGCAUCCUUUGAGAAGGUUUUUUUUUUUUCCCUUACUACUUUCCUGAUCACGAAUGGUCAGAAUAUCCAGGUUCAUUAAAAACAUCCAUAGCAUGAGCAGAAGUUAUCGAACAAUGUCACCAUCUACAGCUGAAAAAAAAAACUCUAUUUCAACUUAGGUUUGGAUAAUUCUUGAAUGUGUCUCUGGUGAUGAGCUUUUUAGUUCACCAGUCACACUUGACUUGUUAAGGAUAAGAAAAUAUUAGUAUUUUGUCUCCUUUAUUUAACACAUGAUAUUGAAUAUUAAAAUGCUUAUUUUCUGAAAUAUUCUUAAAUGAAAUGAUGUUCAUUUUAGUGGCUCUAUCAAUUAUGCAAAAAUGUUUAUUAUGCUAAUUAAUACACAUUUUUGCAUCAUUUAUGAAGAAAAAGUUCUAUUUUCAUACAUGGGUUGAAUCAUGAUUAGAUAAAUGGAUAUAAUUAACAUGUAUGUAUGUGUGUGUGUAUAUAUGUAUUGAGGU